CUCCCUGGCCCCACCCCCAGUGGUCUUGACUGAGCCGGCCUGGGUGGGACCUGGGAAUCUGUAUUUGGAUAGCCCUUCAAGGGGUUCAGAGGCCACACGCAGCCGGGCUUGAGGAUCUCGGCGCCAGUGCCGCCUGUCGGCCAGUGCCCACCCCCACCCUGCCCUCCUGGCGGGGCAACCCUUAGCUGCCCUGAGCUCCGGGCCCCACCCGGCAGCUGGCGCUGCCUCUGAGCAAUCCUAAUGGUUAGAGAAGACUUCCUGGAACUUCCUAUUUCUGUCCCCUACAGUCAUCCAGAGCAGGUCUAAUCCCUCUUCCGCGCGACAAGCCUUCGGAGAUUUGGAGGCAGCUGCCCAGCCUGUCUGCGCCUGCUCUUCUCCAGGACAGACGUUCCCUGGCCUGUCAGUGGUUCCUGACUGGGGAACGAGGAAGCCCAUCCCAGGCUGGACCACUCAGAGCGUCUCUGCCUGAUCUUGACAAUGGUGUCAUAGAGGAACUUCUUAGUUAUCAACUACUACUUGUGAAAAUACAGAAUCCUCACUGUGAAGCAGUCAAAAGUCAAAGGCAA